AGCGCUUCAACAUAAUUGAAGGAAUAGCUAGAGGACUGCUCUAUCUCCACAGAGAUUCAAGAUUAAGCAUCAUACAUAGGGAUUUGAAGCCAAGUAACAUCUUAUUAGAUGAAGGAAUGAAUCCAAAGAUAUCAGAUUUUGGGCUAGCUAAACUUUUGGAGGUGGUGAAGGUGAAGCAAACACUAAAAGAAUUGUUGGAACAUAUGGCUACAUUCCUCCAGAAUAUGCAACAGAAGGACUCUAUUCAGAGAAGUCUGAUGUCUUUAGCUUUGGCAUUUUGUUGCUAGAGAUUAUUAGUGGAAGAAAAAAACAGAAUACCAGCUUUUAUGAAGAUGCGGAAUCUUUCACACUUUUAGGAUUUGCAUGGAAGUUAUGGAUCGUUGGCAAUGUUAUACCUCUAAUUGAUCCGCAAAUAUAUGAUCCAAGCUUUGGCAAGGAUAUGUUGAAGUGCAUACAUAUAGGUCUUCUAUGUGUGCAAGAACUUGCAAAAGACAGGCCCACCAUGGCCUCUAUAAUGUCAAUGCUUCAAAGUGAGAUUGUGGAUAUUUCUCCUCCUAGCCAACCUGCAUUCAUCCUUAGACAAACUAUGCCUUGUACUGCAAAGAAAACUCCAAAUAAUGGUGUCUUAUGUUCCAUCAAUAAUGUAACUAUCUCAAAGUUUGAGGCGAGAUAGAUAGGAUUUUUUAUGUUUCUGUUUCAUUUGGAAGAUCUAAGAUAUAUCAGACAUAUUUUCAACAUCUUCAACAGGGUAGGCAUAAACCUUGUUUCUAGUGAAAAAAUUUUCUGCCGUGCAGUCCUAAAUAUUUAAUGUGUUCGCAAUAUUUAAUGGAUAUUUAUGUGUCAUGUUCCCUCCUUCGAAUGCUAGUUUGUAAAAUCAUGAUGUGAUUUGUGUUUGUUC